GUGCCAGCCGCCGCGGUAAUACCGGCAGCCCAAGUGAUGGCCGCUGUUAUUGGGCCUAAAGCGUCCGUAGCUGGCCGCACGAGUCCGUCGGGAAAUCCGCCCGCUCAACGGGUGGGCGUCCGGUGGAAACUGCGUGGCUUGGGACCGGAAGGCGCGACGGGUACGUCCGGGGUAGGAGUGAAAUCCCGUAAUCCUGGACGGACCGCCGAUGGCGAAAGCACGUCGCGAAGACGAAUCCGACAGUGAGGGACGAAAGCGAGGGUCUCGAACCGGAUUAGAGACCCCAGUAGUCC
rnacentral:rRNA from 1 species